rnacentral:lncRNA from 1 species
GUUUGCCUUCCUUGUUGAGAAGGAGACCGUUGUUCAUUCUUCACUGUCGAUGCUUUCCGAUGGAGGCUGGUUGCUGGUGAAGGGCUGUUGGUGAUGGGGUAAGUUUUCCAUAACGUGACCAAUGUGUCCGCAGCGCAUGCACAUUAUCCCCUCUCCCUCAUAAAUUACCUUCUGCUUAUGCGUUUCAAUGGUAACGGUGGUUAAGAGUGGCGUGUUCAGAGGUACUUCAAUACAUAUCCUUGCAUACCGUCGUCUAAGGGUUCCUGAGGUGCACGCAUCAAUCUUUAGGAGUUUGCCCAAUUUCUGUCUCACUUUCUCCAGUAUUGAUCUAUCGUAGUACUCAGUCGGCAAUUGGGGUAAUCUAACCCAAAUUGCCGUGUGGGUGAGCGUGAACUCAUCUGGUACAAAGCUAGGCACCCAUUGUUGUAUGGUUAGGAAUUUCCUUGCAACAAACCAGGGCCCUUGAUGUAGUACUUUGUUUGUAUUCUCUUGUUGAGCGAAUUUAACCGUGUAGAAGUCGCACCCCAGAUCUAUGAGAAUGAGGGGCUCUGUUGGUUUUCACAGUACAGCUAAUUUAUUUUUGAGGUAUUGAUGGGCUAGUUUCUUCCCAAAGAGUUUGAUUAUCAGUGAGUGUUGCCAUGGUUCUUGGAUUCGUCUGAUGUCAUCAUCAGAGAGGUGAAUAGCAUCGUGGGUAGGCUGACAGCUUUCAACCCCUUUGCCAGGGCGCUGGUGGUAUGUGACGUUUAGAUCUGGGCUUUUUUCUAUCAGUAUUUGUUUGAAGGAUGGCCUGGUUGAGAUGUCUUCGUCCAUGAAGGUAUUCGUGUCCGUUGGAUCCGGUGGUUUCGGUGGUGGUAUAGUUGGGGGGUUAAAGUGCUGGUUACUCAUGCAGAGAGAAAUUAAGACUUGUUAUUUCUGCGUUAAAUGUGAUGUAUUGUUGUAUGAAUGAUUCCCUGUGGGUUUCUUUUUCUUUGUGGACAAGAAAUAUAAGGGGGAGGGGGGAGGGGGAGGUAAGGUAGAAGGGUAUUGGGUAGUGAGGUGUUGUCUUUUAAUUGGAGGGGUUGUUAGGAUAGAAUUAAACCAAAAUAAAAUUUGUUAAGUGUUGUUAUUUUUGUCAUUUAUGGAUAUAAUCACAUGGGUGGGGAUAUGUGGUAAGGUGAGCUAAAAAAUAGAUAAAAUCAAUGUUGGGAGGGACAAAAUUAGGUGUCUACAGCAAAAUCAGACUUGAAAAUAAAUAAAUUGAAAAAUUAAAUUGACUCAAGUUGUGAAUUAAUACAAUAAUAAUAAUAAUAAUAAUAAUAAUAAUAAUAAUAAUAAUAAUAAUAAUAAUAAUAAUAAUAAAUAUAAUUAUUCUCAGAUUAGUUAUGAAUAAAUUGUGUAACUAAAAAUACGAAACAUAAUAUAUUACUUUAAAAUCAACGAUAACAAUAAUAUAAAUAUUAUUAUAUAUAUAAAUUUUAUAUUUCGCAGGUAAAUCUCGAAGAAUAAAUUUCCAGCAAAAUACGCACCACAAAAUCCCCAAAUAAUUUUUCAAGUAAUAAAAUCCAUUACAUAAAUUUUCACCAAAAUAUCUCUAAGUAAAUCUUACCUGGGAAUUUUUCUACGGAUUUUAAAAAUAUAUAUUUGUUUCCAUAUACUUGCGGAUUUACCUAGAGAUAAAAUACCCACCGAUAUAUUUCCCCAAGUAAUGUCGCAAGUAAUAAUUUCCCAGGUAAACCCCCAAGAAUAAAUCUCCACCAAAAUGCGCAGCACAAAAUUCCCAAAUAAUUUUUCAGGUAAUAAAAUCCAUUACAUAAAUUUCCAUCAAAAUAUCUCUAAGUAAAUCCGUAGGAUAAAUUACCUGAAAAUUUUUCUACAGAUUUAAAAAAUAUAUGUAUUUGUCCAUAUACCUGCAGAUUUACCUAGAGAUAAAAUAUCCACCGAUAUAUUUCUCCAGGUAAUGUCACAAGUAAUAAUUUUGCAGGUAAAUCCCCAAGAAUAAAUUUCCAGCAAAAUGAGAAACACAAAAUCCCCAAAUAAUUUCCUAUGUAAUAAAAUUAAUUACAUAAAUUUCCACCAAAACUUCUCUUAUAAGUAAAUUCGUAGGAUAAAUUACCUAGGAAUUUUUCUACGGAUUUAAUAAAUAUAUAUAUAUUUGUCCAUAUUCCUGCGAAUUUACCUAGAAAUAAAAUACCCACCGAUACAUUUCCCCAGCUAAUGUCGCAAGUAAUAAUUUCUCAGGUAAAUCCCCAGCAAAAUGCGCAGCACAAAAUCCCCAAAUAUUCAUUACAUAAUUUUACACCAAAAUAUAUCUAAGUAAAUCCGUAGGAUAACUUACCUAGAGAUUUUUCUACGUAUUUAAAAUAUAUAUAUAUUUGUCCAUAUACCUGCGGAUUUACCCACAGAUAAAAUACCUGCCAAUAUAUAUUCCCAGGUAAUGUCGCAAGUAAUAAUUUCGCAGGUAAAUUCCCAAGAAUAAAUUCCCAGCAAAAUUCACAUCACAAAAUCCCCAAUUAAUUUCCUAGGUUAUAAAAUCCAUUACAUAAAUUUCCAUCAAAAUAUCUCUAAGUAAAUCCGUAGGAUAAAUUACCUAGGGAUUUUUCUAUGGAUUUAAAAAUAUAUAUAUUUGUCCAUAUACUUACGGAUUUACCUAGAGAUAAAAUACCCACUGAUAUAUUUCCCCAAGUAAUGCCACAAGUAUGAAAUUUGCGCAAUAUGGCGCCAAAUUUACCUGCGGAAUUUGUUGCAAAUAUAUAAUUCGCAGGUAAUAUAUUUUAAUGUUGAGGAAUUUAAUAUUUUCGUAGAUAAAUCUGCAUAUAUUUUUUGUGAUAUUAUUCCCUAGGUAAAAUCCCCAUGGAAUUUACAGUUUUCUAGUAGUGAUUGAGCGCAUGAUUUAUUUCCCAAGUCAUAAUAAGGGACUUUGCAUUUCUGGAGUUAUCUAUAUAUUGGAUUACUCAAGUAGAUUAAUCAUUGUUGCAUUUGACCUUAAAAAAAUUAUCACGUUGUGCAAUGCUUUAAGUUAUCAAUGGAGACGUGAUUACAAGGUGAUAGAAGUGCAGGGCAAAUUAGCCGUCCAGGAUCGUUCCUCAAAGAAUGUGAAUUUGUGGAUUUUAGGUGACCCUCAUAGAGAGGAGUGGCAGAGUUACACCAUUUGCUUUCCUCCACACUUGAACAAUAUUAUUGAUACUUACAAAAUCUGCAGUUGUUGUGACGGAGAGAUUUUAAUUUUCUUGAUCAGGUUAAAUGCUUCUGUUGAAGUUCAAUCCUGUUAUGGUUAUGAGGUUGGGAAAAAAAGCUGGAAAGAUUUGAAAACUUCAUUGUUUUCGGUAAAAGAUUGGAUUGAGGAAGACACCUAUACUUAGGUGGUGUGAUUAAUUUGAAUUUGCAUUGCCAGAUCUACUUCCUAGG